CGCAGAGGUAAUGGCACGGUAGCGCUCCUGGCCAGCAGUGUCCCAGAUCUGAGCCUUGAUGGUCUUGCCGUCCACCUGAAUGCUGCGAGUGGCGAACUCCACUCCGAUGGUACUCUUGCUCUCUAGGUUGAAUUCGUUUCUGGUGAAGCGUGACAGCAGGUUGCUCUUACCUACACCUGAGUCCCCAAUAAGCACCACUUGCGGGCAGGGAGAGAGGGAGGAGAGGUGAGGAUCCGGCAGCAACCAAUGUUUCCCAUAUCCACCCAGCAAACCUGCAUGGUGGCUCCCUGAUUUCUGCCACCCACGGAUUUUCCCACGCUGGGACACACUGGAAGGCAGCUGGCCUACUUGAAAGAUGGAAAUGAGAGUACACAGAGUCAGGAACCAGCCAGCAUGCAGUACAAAGAAGGGACACAGCUGCUUCAGACAACACUGACAGUCAAAUGAACAACAGGAAUAUGCGUUCUGGCUGCAGUCUAGACACAGCUGGCCACCACUCCUGCCUGAGGUCAGGAUUACUCUACUCAGUGCUCCUAGAGGGUCCCAUCACUGUCAUCUCUUUAUAAGGUUGAUAUGUAAGUGUGUAUGGCUUCCUUUAGCCUAAAAACUAGCCUUGUAACAGUGACAGGCAGAAAAGGUCUCUAACCCUGUGAAUGCCUCCUUGCAGCUGGAGCCAAUCAUGAAGAUAUGAACCUCGGGCUGCAGCUCAGAUGAUAGACUGCCUACCAUGGGUCAAGCCCUUGGUUCAGUCUCCAGCACCGCAUAAACAGAGCAUGGUGGUGCAUGCCUGUAAUAACAGAACUGUAAUCCCAGAACUCCCGAAGUGGAGGCAGGCUGAUUAGAAAUCUAAGAUCUUUAAUCCCAGCACUUGGGAGGCCAGCCUGGUCUACAUAUCAAGCUCCAGGCCAUUCAAACCUACACAGUGAGACCCUGUCUCAAAAAGCCAUGUCUGCCCCCAGGGACAGGGCCUGGGAGGGCUGUUCUUAGUCCCAGGAUUCACCAUGCAUGUGUUCACAUGUACACAUGCUCACAUUUCUGUUCACAUGUACACAAUGCAGAUGUGAUUGGCAGUAGGCAUCUAAUCAGAUACCUUAGCCAGAAAGCUUGUGGUCCCUGGAAGCAGAGGUGUGGAACUCUGUAGCUGAGGUGGGCCUACCAGUGGAGAGCCAAGGGAGGGCUGCAGGCUUGGUCAUCCAAGGCCUGAGGAAUAGGAAAGAGUAUUCACCCAGGAUCUGGCUCCCAGCCUAGGGAGAGACAGGCAUGGCAGGGCCACAGACUGAACCUGAGCUCUCUGGCCCUACUGAGUGUGUGAGAGACAAACAGUGGGAGAGCUCUCAGGAGGAACCUAGGACCUACCUGGGAGUUUUAAGGCCUGGAGGGCUCAAGGCCCAACAGGUAGCCCCCUUCCCUUCCUACAGUCAAGUGAGCUGCUCAGUUUACAUGUCUGAUUUUUCUUUCUUGAAAAGAAUACAUUUUUGUGGGGUGAAGAGAAAGGGGAAAGAAAGAGGACAGUGAGACAGGGUAGUCCUGCUGACCCCUAACUUCAUCGUCCUGCCUCAGUCUCCUAAGUGCUGGGAUUAUAGGAGUGAACCAAAAGGCCAGGCUAGGAAUACAUUCUCUUGAUGCUUUACCUCUCCAAGCACUGCCCUAAUUUCCUCCUUUCUGCACACUUAACCCCUACAAAGUACUAUCUAUACUUCUGUCUCUGCCUCCAGUUCUCCAAGGCUUCACAGGCCCCAGACUGAGCAUUGUCAUCCAGGGUAUAGGGAGUGGGAGGAGCAUUCAUCUUUGGAUCAGGAGCCAAUGGUGCAGUGGAAAAGAUACAGUCAGGCAACAGACUUGAGGCUGAGCUCACUAGCCCUGCUAAGCAGGCUGAGGGGCACAUAAUAGGAAGAACCCUCAGGAGGAACUCAGGACCCCCCCCCCCCCCAGUGAAUAUACCAACCUACAGACAUCCUAGGGGCUACAAGAAAGAGGUCAACUAUCACUGCCUUGUCCCCAUGCAGCAGCUCAGAGGGCCCUCCUUCUCCUACACUGUUUCUUCCUGUGCUUCAGUGGUGCCACACUACCCAUGUUAGAGCUGCUGCAAGCUAUCCUUCUACUUGAAAAUAAAAGGGAGCCACAUAACUGGGUCCCCAGACUUCUGGCUGUAAAUACUGCUGGUGACUCUUACAUUAACCUCCAUUCUGCAAGCUCAGAUUGGUGCACCCUCUGCCUUUAUAUCCUGACAGAGCCCCACAUUUCAAAUCAGCACAACAGAAUAGUCUCCUGCUCACCCAAUCUACUCACUAGGUGCUACCUUCACCUUCCUGGGCUCAGUCAAUGACUCACUCAACUUGAAAGGUACUCAUGACAACCACCGAUAGUCAUCUUCAGUUCUUUCUUCCUCUCAGACUCUAAGAUCAAUCCUGCAUCCCCUUUGUAACUGAAGGGACACUAGAAUGCUUCUGGGGACCCAUGUAGGUUCCAUCAGAUGGCUUCAGAUGCUGAAGACAUACAGAAUUAUACGUAUAUGUGUACUUUCUUUUGAGAUAGGGUCUCAUGUAGCACAAGCUGGCCUCCAAUUGACGAUGUACCUGAGAAAUACCUAGAAAUACUUAUCAUUUUGCCUUUCCUCUUGAGUGUGGGGACUAUAGGUAUUUGGUACCAUGCCUACCUGGUGUAUUUGAUACUAGGGCUGAGAAUCCAGGGUCUCAUGCAUUCUAGGAAAGCGCUCUACCAAUUGAGCUACAUCCCUAGCCCUGUAUAUGUACUUGUGUAUACAAAUUCAGUUGCUAGACAAAGUAUAAGUGUGUGUGUGUGUUUAUCCCUGCUACCUUCAAAGGCCAGGUUGUCUGUCAUCUUACACUGUUAUCACAGAAUCAGCCUUCUUUUGAGGUCCCAGCCAAAAGCUUGUACUCCUCACGGCCACAAGAAAACAUCUGUGAGCACUAGAGCCAUACUGCUUGCCCCAGCCAGGGACUUACGAGCAGAAGAACUUAGAUGGGUCCUAAGUCCCUAAGAAUCAAAGCCCAGGUCCUCCCUGGGGCCUACAAGGCACAGCACUAUGUGUCCUGAAACCUCUUCCCCUUCCUUCUCUCUCCCACAUGCUCUAGCCAGCUACAUGGGCUCCCGCUCUGCCCCUAAUACAUCAAACACAGUCCUAACUUAGGACCUUUACACAGAGUAUUCUUGCCUGAUCGUUCUUUCUCUGGCCCUUGCCUCAUGUCUUUGUAAGCCUGUGGAUGCCACUUGGUCAAGAAGACCCUCUCCACAAUCCUAUUUUAACUACUUUCCCAACCCUCCCCAUUCUCUGUCCUAGGCCCCUCCCUCUAAGCCCCCAGCUAUUGCAACCCUCAUAUGUGUCUAGUUUCACUCUUUUCUUUUUUGUGGCUAUCUGCGCUAUAAGCAGGACUCUUGUUCCCUGUUGUAUCUCCAGGCCUAACACAGGGCCUGGUAUACAUCAAGUGCCAACAAAUGUCUGUGGAAUAAAUAAGCACACCCCAAAGCAGGUGGAAGGGUCUCCCCUGCCUACCUUGUCCAAAUCAACCUGUAACAUACUGGGAGGAUGCCCAGGUCACCUCAGGGCACAGGUGAGAAUGAGGCAAAACAGGGAACCCAACCCAUUUCACCUUUGGGAAUGGUUGCUUUAGAGCCAAGAAUAAUAAGACUGAGGCAGGCUUAACGAUGAAGCAGGCACAGUGUUACAUGCCUAUAAUUCCAGGCCUCGGGAGAUUGCAGCAAGAGAAUUUUGAGUUUAAAGACAGACUGGGCUACAUAGUAAACUCAAUGUCAGCUUGAAUUAUAUUUUGAGUCCCUGUCUCAAUGGACAAACAGUACUGAGGAUGCUGCUCAGUUGGUACAGUGCUUGUCUAAAUACGCAUUAAGCCCUGGGUUCGAUCCCUAGCACUGCAUUAAACUGAGUGUGGUGGGCAUAAAGCCAAGCCUGAUGGUAUACCCUGAAAUUACUCUGGAGAUGGAGGCAGAAGAUCAGAAGUUCAUUAUUAUCCUUGGUUAUAUAGUGAGUUUGAAACAGGCCUAAGCUUCAUGAGACUCUUAAAAACAAAAUAAGCCUGUUGUGGUGGCACAUGCCUUUAAUCCUAGCAUUGGAUUGGAAAACUAGUGUAGGCCAGCCAGGGAUAUACUGUGAGAACCUAUCUCAAAACAAACCCACAAAAACAAAACUACAAAACAAACAACACCCCACCACCACCACAAUCCACAAACUGAUUACUAAGAGAGAGAACAAAAAGAGGCUGUUUAGAUGACAAACACCGCUCGCUCGCACACCCGCGCUCGCUAGCGCUCUCUCUCUCUCUCUCUCUCUCUCUCUCUCUC
rnacentral:lncRNA from 1 species